AUUGAACGCUGGCGGCAUGCCUUACACAUGCAAGUCGAACGGCAGCACAGAGGAGCUUGCUCCUUGGGUGGCGAGUGGCGGACGGGUGAGGAAUACAUCGGAAUCUACUCUGUCGUGGAGGAUAACGUAGGGAAACUUACGCUAACACCGCAUACGACCUACGGGUGAAAGCAGGGGAUCUUCGGACCUUGCGUGAUUGAAUGAGCCGAUGUCAGAUUAGCUAGUUGGCGGGGUAAAGGCCUACCAAGGCGACGAUCCGUAGCUGGUCUGAGAGGAUGAUCAGCCACACUGGAACUGAGACACGGUCCAGACUCCUACGGGAGGCAGCAUG
rnacentral:rRNA from 1 species